CUCCUGUGAUCGUUUCGGCAGAAGGUAUACUAAAAUUGGACCGAUACAAAGAUUACCAUGGCUUAUGCACAAGAAUGGCACACAAAUUCUUGAAACAGAAAAAGGUGCU